AUACCUUUCUCGGCCUUUUGGCUAAGAUCAAGUGUAGUAUCUGUUCUUAUCAGUAUCAGUUUAAUAUCUGAUAUGUGAGCCAUUGGCUCACACGAUAUUAAAUUAAUUUUUUAAGGGGGAAGAUCCAUUAAGGCAGCUUGGUCCUUCGCGCGUCGCCCAUGCGUUGCACUACUGCACGGGCCUGGCGCACCCCAU
rnacentral:snRNA from 1 species